ensembl:lncRNA
AGAGAGAGAUGGGCAACAUGGACUACAAACUGGGACAGGUAGGAUGGAGAGAGAGAUGGACUACAAACUGGGACAGGUAGGAUGGAGAGAGAGAUGGACUACAAACUGGGACAGGUAGGAUGGAGAGAGAGAUGGACUACAAACGGGGACAGGUAGGAUGGAGAGAGAGAUGGACUACAAACGGGGACAGGUAGGAUGGAGAGAGAGAUGGACUACAAACUGGGACAGGUAGGAUGGAGAGAGAGAUGGACUACAAACUGGGACAGGUAGGAUGGAGAGAGAGAUGGACUACAAACUGGGACAGGUAGGAUGGAGAGAGAGCUGGACUACAAACUGGGACAGGUAGGAUGGAAGGAGAGAGAGAUGGGGAACAUGGACUACAAACUGGGACAGGUAGGAUGGAGGGAUGGAAGGAGAGAGAGAUGGACUACAAACUGCGACAGGUAGGAUGGAGGGAGAGAGAUGGGACACAUGGGCUACAAACUGGGACUGGAGGGAUGGAAGGAGAGAGAGAUGGACUACAAACUGGGACAGGUAGGAUGGAGGGAGAGAGAGAUGGGACACAUGGACUACAAACUGGGACAGGUAGGAUGGAAGGAGAGAGAGAUGGGGAACAUGGACUACAAACUGGGACAGGUAGGAUGGAGGGAUGGAAGGAGAGAGGGGCGGAGGAAAGGGAAGACAGACCAAAUGGCAUAGUUGUGUCCUUCUCUUGCAGAUAUGUUCAGUCUCUCUCUCUCUCAUAAUUCCUCUCCUUUAUUGUCUUUCUCUCUAAUUCCUCUCCUUUAUUGUCUCUCUCUCUCUAAUUCCUCUCCUUUAUUGUCUCUCUCUCUCUAAUUCCUCUCCUUUAUUGUCUCUCUCUCUCUAAUUCCUCUCCUUUAUUGUCUCUCUCUCUCUAAUUCCUCUCCUUUAUUGUCUCUCUCUCUCUCUCUCUAAUUCCACUCUUUGUCUCUCUCUCCAUCAGGUGUCCAUCCAUUCUGUGUGGCUGGGGAACAACAUUACCCCUCUGAGAGAGGAAGAGUGGGGUGAGGAUGAGGAAGAUGAGACUGAUACUCCGGCCCCCGCCUCUCUUCCUACCUCUCCGAUCAACUCCAGGAAGCAUCGUGCAGGUGUAGACAUCCACUCCUGUUCUCAGUUCCUAUUGGAGCUCUACAGCCAGUGGCUCCUCCCCGGUUCCCCUAGCAACAGACGCACCCCUGUUGUGCUCAUCAGCGAGGUUGUCCGAUCGUUGUUGGCGGUCUCUGACCUGUUCACGGAGCGUAACCAGUUUGACAUGAUGUUCACCACCCUGAUGGAGCUGCAGAAGAGUCAUCCUGCUGAAGAUGAGAUAAUGAACCAGUACCUGGUACCAGCUCUCUGCAAGGCUGCCGCUGUCCUGGGCAUG